rnacentral:tRNA from 1 species
GUUUCCAUAGUGUAGUGGUUAUUACGUUAAGCCUCACACGCGAAAGGUCCCCAGUUCGAAACUGGGUGGAAACA